CAAACCAUUCGAUUUCUAUUUUGGCAAGAUUCGAUUAUGAGAUUAUUAAAAACAAAAAAGAAAAAAAAUAUCUAAAUUCUAUAUUUGUAAUAGGAAAUCAUAUUAAUUAAAAUUUCCAAAGCCUAAAUAUCAUAAUUUAGUCCAGAUAAUACUGAAUAUAAAUCCAAAGAAAGGAAAAGAAAAUUAAUUCCAGAAACUACAAGAUUAUAGCCUUCAUUAUUCAAGAGUCAUGUCUAACACUGUCUUUUUUUUUUGUCCCUCAUCUCAAACUCAUUAGUGCCACUGUCACAGAACUCAGAGAAUUGAGGAAUAUGUGCUUGAGAAGAAACAUUCGUCAACCCUGGCAGCUGCAUGCUUAGACCAGUAGCGUACUGGGUGAUCCCCAGGAUUAUUCAUCAUCAUCGCAUUUGUAGGGGCUUUAAAUGGAGACCAAGAUCUCUUGCUGCUACACUCACCGCCAAAUUGGCUGAUUCCCUCACCAUUGGUCAUCUUCAUCAUCAUCAACAUCGGACUAUUGAGAGAAUCAAGAUUAAAAGGAGGCAUCUGAGGGAGAGUUUGAUGGGAUAGAUUCACAAAAGACAAUGGCUCCUGCUCAAGAACCUCAAACUCCAUAUUCUUUUGACGCAAGGCGUUAGCGAAAGUUGAAGCCAUUGAACUUGAUUUAAAACUUUUAUUAUUGCUGGAGCCUCCUUCAUCAAUAGAACCAAACAUCAAAUAAUUGUCACCUUUACUCUUCAAAACCCUACUAGUUGCAAUUUCAAGCUUUGAACCUAGAACCCCAUCAAGUAGAGUGAGUUCAUGAUACUGCCAAAGAUUUAGGCGAUUAUCCCACGUCGGAAACUUUGCUUUCAAACAUGCCUUUCGCAGUUUAGCAAUCUCAUCAUCCAAUUUCUUCUGGCGGGCAACAAAAAAACCAGACAAAUCUUGGUUUUUCCUUCGCUCAUUGCCCAUAGAUAGGAAUCUGUUUAUAAUGCGCCUCAUAUCAUAGCGAUCAGUAGGCCAGGUCUCAACAUCGAUCGGACGAUUAUUUAAAUUUGGCCCUAGGAUGAUCACGCAGGCAUCUACAUCACAAAGAAUGCUUAACUCCUGCAAUUUCUUGAUCAAACCCUUCUUUCUUUUGUGAUAGGUUAUCAUGCGAGACUUCUCAUUCAUUAUCAGUUCCAUGUUUAGCUUUCCACGACCCAUAUCUUGAUCUAAGGAGGAAAAUUUUUCAAAAUAUGAAGCACACUAGACAAAUAAAAUAUUCCUAUUGAAUUACAUUAGCAAUUCUCUUUCAAGGCAGCUAUUUUAGAAGCAAAAAUUAGAGAUCUAAAUUGGAUUUUAAGAUUAAUUUCCUAAAAGUUCAAAGAUAAACCAAUCUUACACAAACACAAAGCAAAAGCAAAACGAUAUAAUAAAGGCAUAAACAAUGAACAAAGUUCAUAAUAUAAUAAAGAGAUAAGAGAGUAUAGUAAGAGAAGAACCUUAGAUUUUAAUGGCCUCCUAAGCUUCUUUGAUCUAAUUACAGUAGCACAAUAAUGGAAUUGUUCAAGGCCU
rnacentral:misc_RNA from 1 species